UACGUAGGGUGCGAGCGUUGUCCGGAAUUAUUGGGCGUAAAGGGCUCGUAGGCGGUUUGUCGCGUCGGGAGUGAAAUCAUCUGGCUUAACUGGGUGCUUGCUUUCGAUACGGGCAGACUAGAGGUAUGCAGGGGAGAACGGAAUUCCCGGUGUAGUGGUGGAAUGCGUAGAUAUCGGGAGGAACACCAGUGGCGAAGGCGGUUACCUGGAGCUUUGCUGACGCUGAUGCGCGAAAGCGUGGGGAGCGAUCCGG
rnacentral:rRNA from 1 species